UCNGUAGGUGAAAUAGCUCAGUAUUUGCGA
rnacentral:piRNA from 1 species